rnacentral:lncRNA from 1 species
GGGCUUGCCGACUUGCUUCUAAGCAACAGAACACAACAAUACACCUGACCUUUGUGUAACUUCAGAGGUGAGGUCAUAAAAGGCUGUGCAGAACCCACUCAAUGCUACGAGAAGCCCAAGCCCUGUGGAGAGACCAUGGAAGUGGCUUGGGUCAAUAGUCCCAGCAGAGCUGAGCCUUCAAGUCUUCCUAGCCCAGGCACCAGAGAUGGGAGAGAGGAACUCUCCAGGGUUUCACUCUCGUUGCCCAGGCUGGAGUGCAAUGGCAUGAUCUUGGCUCACCACAACCUCCACCUCCCAAGUUCAAGCGAUUCUCCUGCCUCAGCAUGCCGAGUAGCUGGGAUUACAGGCAUGUAUCACCAUGCCCAGCUAAUUUUGUAUUUUUAGUAAAG